GGCUUUGUAGAAUUGCUUUGCGAGACUUAAAAUCCCCAGGCUGUAAAGCCGUGCGGGUUCGAGUCCCGCCCUAGGCACCA
rnacentral:tRNA from 1 species